rnacentral:rRNA from 1 species
AUGAUCCGUCUCCGCAGCUGCAUCCUCACCCAUCUCCUCCAUUCGCCCCCCGCCUCUCCCAUCUCUCUCCGCCGUCUCCUCUCAACCACAGAGCCGGUGCCCCCCGUUCCGGCAAAUCCGGGCUUCGCCGUCGAGGACUACCUCGUCGCCACCUGCGGCCUCACCCGACCCCAGGCCCUCAAGGCUUCCCUUAAACUCUCCGGCCUCAAGUCACCCUCCAAGCCCGACUCCGUCCUCGCCCUCCUCGCCGGCCUCGGCCUCUCGAGCGCCGACGUCGCCGCCCUCGUCGCCGCUGACCCGCGGUUGCUCUGCGCCAAAGUGGACACACUAACCUCCAAUGUCGCGGGGCUCGCCGGCAUGGGCAUGUCGCGUUCUCAGAUCGCUCAGCUCGUUAUGCUCGGCUGCACUAUCUUCCGCUGCAAACCCGUCGUCUCCAGGCUGCACUACUACCUGCCCCUCUUCAGAUCCCCGGAGAACCUCCUUCGCGUUCUCAAGCAGAACUCCUACCUCCUGUCAUCCAACAUCGACAAGGUGGUAGAGCCCAACGUCGUAUUCCUGCGGGAGUGCGGGCUAGGUGCUUGUGAUAUUGCCAAGCUGUGCACCUCUCUUCCGAGGCUGCUUAGCACCAAACCAGAGAAGGUCCGGGCGAUGGCGGCAUGUACCGAAAGUCUGGGUGUGCGCCGCGGCUCCGGGAUGUUCAGAAAAGCGAUGCAGGCUGUCGCGUUCCGCGGCGAGGAGAAGAUCGCCGCCGAAGUGGCGUACUUGAAGAAGACGUUCAGGUGGUCCGAUGCUGAGGUGGGCAUUGCUGUCUGUAGGUCUCCAAUGGUGCUGUCGAGGUCUGAGGACACGCUCCUGCGUAUGUCCGAGUUCCUUAUCUCUGAGGUGGGGCUGGAACCGGCGUACAUUGCUCCUCGGUCAGUAAUGCUCUGUCUUAGCCUCGAGGGUCGACUGAGGCCUCGGUACUAUGUUACGAAGUUCCUUAAGGAAAAUGGAUUGCUAAAUCUCGGAUGGAGUUACUUUUCAAUUGUCAAGGCGACCGAGAAGGUGUUCGUGGAGAAGUUCAUAUGCCCUCACACGGAAGCUGCACCAUACCUCGCUGAAGACUAUGAUGCUGCUUGCAGAGGGGAAGUGCCGACUAAUUUCAGAUUCGCAUGA